GUUAAGUUUGAAGUAAAUGAUGUACUAAAUAGUAUUGUGUUUUACCCCACAUAUUAUGUUUUAGGAAACCAUCAACCAUUGAGAUGCUGUGACCUUUUGACAAGCCUACACAAUUCGGAUGUUGUUCAGAUGGUUGCCCCACAGUGGACAGUCUACGCAACAUUACAUAAUCAAAAUGGGGACUCGAAGGAGGACCACUGGCAUUCGGGACAGAACCCAUAUUUGUAUUGGCCAGACAUGACAUCAUGACGACUGGGCUGUAAAAUCAGCAUUUAAUGUGUCCCAUCAACCGUGAGGAAAAUCACUUAAGCACUAAAGCAUGCAUCUCCAUUUUGCCCUGCAGUCCUGUUUAACCGGUUUAUCUGUGCUGGUUUGUGGCAUGUUUGCAUCAUUGCUCCUAUUGAAAUGUGUGCUUGACAGUGUGUGCAUCGCUAGCAGUAGGCAGGAUUGAUUCUAAUUGAAUCCACCCUGAAUACACUGACAAUAUAAAAGAUACAAAAGAACUGCAAUUAAUCUGUUUAAUGUGGGACAGAAAUGAACAGAGAGAAGGACAAAUAAGAGAUCUUUUCUCAGAAAUUUCGCAGGAUUACAGCUUCCAUGUUUUGUGAGUGAAAUGACAUUGCACUGGCUUAGAAGUUAGAUGGAUCUCUAGUUAAGAAUACUGUUUAAAAGUUACUGUUAA